rnacentral:rRNA from 1 species
UAUCUCUGUAGAGUCUGCAUAUCAAUAAGCGGAGGAAAAGAAACUAACUAGGAUUCCCCUCAGUAACGGCGAGUGAAGCGGGAAGAGCUCAAAUUUGAAAUCUUCAAGGUUUUACCUUGACGAAUUGUAGUUUAAAGGAAGUGUUUUCUGUUGGAGUUUUGGUAAAAGUUCUUUGGAAUAGGACAUCAUAGAGGGUGAGAAUCCCGUAUUUGACCAUUAUUUCCAGCUGUGUGAUACACUUUCAAAGAGUCGGAUUGUUUGGGAAUGCAGUCCAAAAUGGGUGGUAAAUUUCAUCUAAAGCUAAAUAUUGGCGAGAGACCGAUAGCGAACAAGUACCGUGAGGGAAAGAUGAAAAGAACUUUGAAAAGAGAGUUAAACAGUACGUGAAAUUGUCAAAAGGGAAAGCGUUUGACACCAGUGUUGUUUUCACGAAAAUCAAUUAAGAAUGAUGGGAUUUUGUGUUGUAUUGACUUUAUCAGCUUUCUGCACUUUUUUCUUAUCUUUUUUAAUGCACUUUUCGUUUAACAAGUCAACAUCAAUUUCUUUUGUUGUAAAAGAGUCAUUGGAAGGUGGCUGUUUCUUCGGAAAAAGUGUUUAUAGCCUUUGGCUUCUGCAAUCGGAGAGAUUGAGGUCUGCAGCGUAGAUCCUUCGGGGUUAGAUACAUUUGUGCUAAGCUAUAGUUCUUUAUAGACAACUUGUUGACUAUAAUCAAUCCUGUAACUUACUCGCUUAUGCUAUUUUACCUACGCUUAGGAUGUUGAGCGCAUGUCUCUCUC